rnacentral:rRNA from 1 species
AUACGUAGGGUGCGAGCGUUGUCCGGAAUUACUGGGCGUAAAGAGCUCGUAGGUGGUUUGUCGCGUCGUCUGUGAAAUUCCGGGGCUUAACUCCGGGCGUGCAGGCGAUACGGGCAUAACUUGAGUACUGUAGGGGAGACUGGAAUUCCUGGUGUAGCGGUGAAAUGCGCAGAUAUCAGGAGGAACACCGGGGGCGAAGGCGGGUUCCCGGGCAUUAAAUGACGUUGCAGAGCGAAAGCAUGGGUAGCGAGCAGGAUUGUAUGCCCGGGAGGUCCAGGCGUUAAGCGGGGGCCGCCAGGUGUAGCGGGCUCCCACGACUUCGGGGCCGUAGCUAACUCAUUAAGCGCACCGCCUGGGGAGUACGGCCGCAAGGCUAAAGCUUACAGGAAUUGACGGGG